rnacentral:rRNA from 1 species
UACGUAGGCAGCGAGCGUUGUUCGGAGUUACUGGGCGUAAAGGGUGUGUAGGCGGUUCUUUAAGUUUGGUGGGAAAUCUCCCGGCUCAACCGGGAGGGUGCGCCGAAUACUGAGGGACUAGAGUGCGGGAGAGGAAAGUGGAAUUCCUGGUGUAGCGGUGAAAUGCGUAGAUAUCAGGAGGAACACCGGUGGUGUAGACGGCUUUCUGGACCGUAACUGACGCUGAGACACGAAAGCGUGGGUAGCAAACAGG